UCCAUCAUUUGUAUACAUGUAUUAUUUUAAAUAUUUUAUAGUUUUUUUUACAAAAAUGUUUCUGUAUUACUUCAAAAUUAUAUUUAUAAUUGAUUGACUCGUCCACCAUCUUUUCCCACAGAGAUUGUCGCAACGUAUUCUGGGAUCAUCUUCAUGGAGGAUGCAUGCAUAAUGACUAAUGCUUAGAUUCCAGUGAGAAAGAAUGCAGAAAAAUGUGGCUGUUACUCCAGGACUCUGAGGUAAGGUGAGGUGUGGAGUCAACUACAGUCAUUUCAAGCAUGUCAUGUUAUGAUGACCAGUCAGUUGAGUGGGCAUGGAUGAGUCAGCCUUCUCCAAAAGGCUUUGAUCACAUGACCGGACAGACCUGAAUACAGGUCUCAAACCACUGCAGCUCCCAGAAGACCUGACUCACUGAGACCAAGCAGAACAAACAUAAAUGCCACUAGGCAACCUCAUUCACCGUGAGACCAGCGUAUGGGUCAAGACCAGCAAAUCUGAUGGACCUUUGGUAAUAACUGCACCAUGAAAUUC